rnacentral:rRNA from 1 species
GAUGAACGCUAGCGGCAGGCCUAACACAUGCAAGUCGAGGGGCAGCACGUGUAGCAAUACAUGGUGGCGACCGGCGCACGGGUGAGUAACGCGUAUGCAACCUACCCAUAACAAGGGGAUAGCUUUCGGAAACGGAAAUUAAUACCCUAUAGUACCUAAUUGUCGCAUGGCAAUAAGGUUAAAACUCCGGUGGUUAUGGAUGGGCAUGCGUGCCAUUAGUUAGUUGGCGGGGUAACGGCCCACCAAGACUGUGAUGGUUAGGGGGUCUAAAAGGAUGAUCCCCCACACUGGUACUGAGACACGGACCAGACACCUACGGGUGGCAG